rnacentral:lncRNA from 1 species
UAAAACUAUGAUUUUGAAUUCCGGAAUUACUUACAUUAACAAAAUAUGAUAGAAAUAGACAUUUGCUUUAGAAUGAGCUAAAUACUGAAUUUUUAUAUACACAGUAAGAUUUGGUAGCAGUUUAAAUAUUUUCAGAAAACUGAAUCCAAGACUCUUUAUUUAUGUUUACUGCAAUGCAAGGAGAGAGUCUUAAGUCAACUAUUAAUAUAUCUGUGCUAUAUUUUCCUCUAAGGAUUUGGGAACAGAAUUAUGCUGUUCUCAUGAAAACAAUAUUUGUCCAGCCCUUACAGAGGGUUGCAAUGCACUCUAUUACUUUUAAAACAAAAAUAUCACUCAGUUUAGAUUUAAAAUGUAAUGCUUUUCUCUUUUCUUUUCUUUUCCCCCCCUUUUUUUUUUCUUUUUUUUUUUCCUUUAUCUUUCAGCCCAAGAACUUGCCAGUCAAGAUGAAAAACUUCUUCUAAUGGAAUCCAGCUUGAAAGCAACUCAAGAGCAGCUAAGUGAGCAAACAGCAGAAACAGUUCACCAAGAACAGAACAGUAGAAAAUCACAGACAGAGCUGAAAGAAGAUCCUGAGAGAACGUAUUAUAGCUUCUGAUGAAGAAAUUAGUGAUUACAAGUGAGUAACUGCUUUUAUAGUAUUUGAUAAACAGAAGACAUUAAAGACAGCAGCAAAUUCUUUUAAUAAGUAUUAUGUUAACCAUUUAUUUCUGGCAAGAUGUAGUGUAAAUAUGUUCUAUAGCUACUGAAUAAACUAUUAAAUCUAAAAGAUUGAUUAAUGUGUACUUUAAAAUAUAUUUUGCACUUAAAAUUAAAAAAAAAUACUUUUGUUAGUGGUCUAUUUUACUUUUGGAAUGAAAAAGAGAAAAAGAUUCUAUGGUGUUGAAGUAGAAUAAUAUUUGUUACUUCUAUCUUAAUAUUAUUCUCAUCUUCCUAUUUUUAGCAACUGAAGUUUAAAUAUGCAUUUUAUUUUCUUUAUUUUUUUUAGAAGCUGUCUCUAAGCAAGAUGCUGCCAAAUAAAAGGAAAUUUAGUGUUUGAACUUUUAGUCACAACAGUAAGGCACAUAUGAGAUUGCAUACUAUACUUGAGAAAAGUUUAAACAGAAAAAUGUACCUCUAUUCUCAGAAAAAAAAAAAAUAGUAUCUAUAAGUUUAUAAGUUUAAAUGUUAGCUCUGAAGAUUUUAAUUAAAAAAUACUAAUCUUCAACAAAUAACUUUUAUAAAUUAUAAUGACUUUAAAUGUAUUUUUAUAUUGAGACACAAAAUGAUACAUUAUUCAGAUUUUUCAAGAUCUACAGUAUGGUAGAAAUGAUUCACUACUGCUUCUUUUUGCCUUAUUGUAUGCAAACUGUUACAUAUGUUAUAUUAAAAAAUUGUUAAAUGUAGAGACAGAAACUCAAGCUGUUUUAUAAUAUCAUAGAGUGCAGGUGAAUGCUUUAUAAAGAGAGCAUGACUGAAAUAAAGUUUAUUCAUUCAGUGGUAGGUUGAACAUUUAAAGAGAAAUGUUUUAUCUCAGAUUUGUACCAAGCAUCAAGGACUGUCUCUACAAAUCUCCUCUGAGAGAAGCUUUGCUAGGUUUAGAUGCAAUAAACAUAAUGUUUCAAAAUCACAAUAUGACAAUGUUAUAAUUUGUAUGCUCAGUGUAAAUAGCUUCUAGACUGGAACUUCACUCUGUAUUCAAAAGUUUAAAGCCAAUUUUUCUGCUGAAGACUGGGAAAAUCUCUAUGGGAAGAAAAAAACGCACAAGAACAAAAACAUUGUCUACAGUAAUAUGUCUUCAUUUCUUUAAAUAAAAUAGCUUGGUGGUUUUCAACUUCUAGUUAUACCUCUAAAGACCUUACUACUACUUCUCUAGGGACAGUAGUGUCACUGAUUUGCUUUCCUAACCUAUCUUGACUCCUUUGCUACAGUAAGCUUUCUUAACCAUUUCAAGUGAUUCUUCAGUUGCCAAAAUGCCAUGUUAUGCAAAUUCCUGUAGAUAUUUACUUCAAAAUUAAAAGGUUAAAAUCUUCUAGGAGUACUGGCUGUAAGUUUGUGUGAUACAGUGAUAGAAAUGGUAGGGGAUGUGGGAGGAUUGAAACCUCCAGCUGUAUCUGAUCAAAUGUGUGAUGAAAUACAACACUUGAUAGAGCAGGAAUUUUGCAAAAGUGAAAUGAGUUUCUCUGUUCUUCAAAUAGAAAGACAAAUGAUAAACACUACAAGACUUUGAGACACAUUUCUUUCUUUUUUUUUUUUUUUAUGAUUUCAUAGUAUACAUUUUGUGAAUAAAUAAAAACUUGGAUGAAUCUGUUAACAUACAAAAAUUCACUAAGCCACCUUUUUUUCUGUUUAUAUUUGAUUUUCUUUUUCUGCUCUAUUUUUCUAUUUCUGUUUUCACCAAACUAAUAUGUUUGUUGGCUUUGGAAGUUUGUUAAUUUAGUACAUGAGCAUAAUGUAUUUUGAGUUAGGGGAGUCUUCAGGUUACAGCUCUAUAGAUUGUCAAGAUUAUUUUUAUAGGCUCUUAGGUUAAUUUUUAUGUUUAAGUUUAUGACACUUGUUUUUUAAAAGUACUGUGAUAUUACUGCACGAUUAUAGAGAAGUAUUUGUUGAAUUAGGAAAAUUAACGCUGUAAAUUUAAAAUUUUAAUAAAGUUGAAAUUAUAAAGAUAAAAACUAAGAAACAAAAUUGAACAUUUUAGAUAUUAAAUUCCCCCUUAAAGAUAACAUUUUACUGAAUACCUGAAAACAAACAUGUUGUGCCAGACAGUAUCUGCUGUGCUCUGUUCCUUGAGAGGCAGAAAGAACAAUGGAUCUCUUUCCCCAUGGGUGUUUGGGGACAGGGAAUGUCGUAAAGGUUAUGUUCAUUUACUAUGAAGGGCACAGCACGUGUUGUAAAGUAACAUCCCUUUGGUGCUGACUUAUUCGAAGUCACAUAGUCCUGGACUUUACCUACCACCCUACUUAGUGAUUCUGGCAAAUGCAGAUGGUAUCAAGGUGAGAGCUUAGGACCUUACAAAGAAAAAUGCAGUGAAGCAUAAAUUGGUGGAUUUAAACUACCGAGAGAGUUAAGAUUCUGCUAUAGCUGUUGUGACGCCUAUAAGGAGAAAAGUCCAUUUUUGUAUGCUUUUAUUUCCUUGUAAUGUAAAUGUACAUUAAAGGAUAUUUCUCCUGGAAGUGGUGUAAAAGGAAAGUACUGAAGAGCAUUUAAAAAACAAUAAAACUAGCAUUAUUUGUGCUAGUUUACAAAAAUAUUUUUUUAUAAAAUAGAAUAAAAAUAUUUUACUAACUGUACUGGAUUCUCAAAAUGCAUGUAUUCCAGGUAUAACCAAAAUUUGUAAGUAGUCACAAGCUAUGUUUGCUAUAUACUUAUUCUGGAUGAAAUAAACCUAAAGUUACACACACUCCCCCCCAGCCUCCAAUAUAAGCCUGUUACACUUGAAAGAUUUGUUCGGAAUGUCCAGUGGGAACCUGGAAAUCGUAAUAAUUUGUAGUAUCGAUUGUGUGAAGCUAUGCAGCUGGGGCCUCUAGUGAAUAGACAGGAAUAGACAUUUUAUUGAUUAACUUUUACAGUCAUAUUUUCAAGACUCUGCUGCAACAUAAUUUUCACUUCCCAGCUUUGUGCUGCUGCAUCAUGAAACUUGAAUUCUUCUCUCUUAACAUUUACCCACCUGAGGGAAACAGUAUGGAGUUGUCUCUUUUAAGCUGCGCUCUGCAGAAAUGCAUAACACUUGACACAGUGAAUUCUUCAAAAUUUACCCUCCGCUGUUGCAAUAAAAUGAAAAAUAUUAAGAAGUGAUAUUAGUAUCACCCAAGUUGAACUGCCCACUCCAUAUGUUAGACGCCAUUGUUUCAUACUUCCUAGUAAUUUUAUCCACCUUUUUUUUUAUUUUUAUUUUCUAAGGGGCUAAGAUUGUGGCAAAAAAAAUUGCCACCCUCCUCACACCACAGAUUCCAGCAGUGCUUAAUGGAGUUUGUCUCAUAAUUAAAUAGGUGAUUUUAUUAGUUACUGGAGAAGAAUAAGUGCUUCCCUGAAAAUGUGAACUAUGAAUUAAAAAAUACUCAUUUUUAAGAGUGACAGCCUGUGUCAAAUAAAAUUCCUUGUAAAAGUACAGAAAGGGCAGUUUUUCAUUAUAAUUAUCAAUCUAUCAUUUAACAAUGUAAAAAUAUGUACCAAAAUAGUAAACAGACUAGUCUUAGAAAGCAUUAUUUCACAUUUCUGAAGUUAUUCGUUUUCAGAAAAGAAAAAAAAAAGGGGGGGGGGGGGCAUUUUGCCAUUUUGUAAAGAACUGUUGCAUAUUUUCUGAUUUUUUCCCAGUAUGAUUUGCAUUCUAAAUCAGAUGCCCAAGCCACUAUUCUUUCAUGCUGAUAAAAUUGCUGGUAAAAAUCUCAAUCUAUCAUUUUUUUUUUCAUCUAAUGACUGUUUCUUUGUUGUUGUUGUUGUUGUUAUUUUACAUGGUAACUUUUACUUGAAUGCUGUUUGCAAUGUAAGUUUGAUAACAGCUUUCACAAAAUAGGACAAAUAUUCACAUACAUUGCCACUGGUGCUAAUAUGAUUUAGACUUCUGUCAUUCUAUUAUUUUUCCUAGAGAUAUUUUAUUACUAGUGUCUUCUAAGUAUCUAAAUGUUUAAGAUAUUUGUGGUCAUGUUUCCUUUUGUCCUCCCGCUCAUCAGAUACAUCUCAGUGUGCACUGUAUGGAGACACCAAAGCAGAAAUACUCGCAUAGAUGACAGAAUGUUCAUCUUGUUUGCAGUUGUCUAAACUCUUACAGAAAAAAUCCUGAUUUCUCUUAAAAAAGCAGAAAACUGUGUGGAGAACUUUAAGGUAAGAAUAAAAGGAUCAAAGAAAGUUGGAGAACAGGUGCUACUCAAGGCCUCAGUAUCCACUGGACCUGAAAUAACCUUGAAACAGAAUCAUUCUCGAUCAGAUGAAUAACGAGAAAAUUUGUUAAGAGUGCAUAGAAUUAUAUUUUUCUAAUGGACAAACUUCAUUGUACAGCAAUAUGAGAAAAGAAAUAUCACAUCCUCAUGACUUACUAGACCUCAGUCUUUCAAACAUAUACAGAUGUCAGCAGUUUCAUGAAGCCAAUUACUCUAUAACCAUGUGAAAAACUGUUCAUGAGUUUGCAAGAUUUAAGAUGAAGAUUGUUUUAAUAUUAAGGAUUACUCAGUAUUUUAUUUAGUAGUUGCAAUGCUUUAUUAUAGAAGUUAUGUUGUAAAUCAUGAUGAUUGUAGAAAAUAAAUGAAACAACUGAUCAUUUUACUUCAGAUUCAUUUAACACAAAUCCAAAUGAAUGUGAUUUGUGCAUGUGAGAAUGCAUGUGCAUGCUCUUGUGGUUUAGUUAAAGAAGGAAGAAGUCAUGUUCCCUCUUCUGAAUGUUUGUAGAGAUGUUUAAGUGAGAACAAAGUAGUAAGUUAGUAAGAUUUUUAUGUUCUCAGUAGAUAACUACCAUAGUAGUCAGACCACUGUGAACAGCAUGUUAGCUUCAUUGCUCAAUUUCAUGUUUAUUUUUCUAUUUUUUUUUCUAUUUGGAAAUAUGCAUGAUGAGGCUUCUUGUAGUUAUAAAACAAACAAACAAACAAAAAAACCUUUUUAUCGUGAAUUAAAGCAAUGAAAAUUUAUAAGAAAUUAGAAAAAAAUAAUUGAAAUAAUUAAGAUAUUUAUCUAUAUUAAAUAAGUUAGAUAUCAUAUAUAGCAAAAUGUUUUUCAGGAAGUGCAAUUGCAGAAAUUCACAACUAGUUUUAUUUCUUGCAUUUGACCCGAGAAGUCUGAUUUAAUUGUAGAAAAAAUAAAGGCCAGAUAGCUCCAUUACUUUACCUGUUUCACCUUAAAAAAAAAAAAAAAAAAAAAAAAGGAAUAUCUGAACCAUUUUAAUUGACUUAUAUUGUUUAGUGGGAUUUUAAUGCAUAAGACAUAAAUCAUAAACAUAGAAGUAUAAAAGUAUAGCUAAGAAAUGAAAUGUACAUGAACUCUUUGCUUUUUUAAAAGUACUGCAGAAUUGAAGACUUGAAGUGAAAAUUUAUGUUUAUUGAAUUUCAUAGUACCUCUGACACAAACACAUAAAUAAAUUACUGAAAUAAUAGUAAUAAUAUAGCAGAUGACCAUCCUAGAGUAGAAUAUGAUCCUACACAUUUAUGUCUUCCUAGGCAGUAUAGUUACUACUGGGAAAAAUUGAAUUGAUUGCAACGGAAAUAUACCUGACAGUAAGCAUUUACAGUGGCAGGCAAAAUUAUUUAAGAAAAGAGAAUAUAAAAUUAAGAAAGACAGAUGGAGUCAUAAGAGUGAAAUACAAAUAGUCUGAAUCAGGAUUGAUUUCAACAUAAUGUGGUGGAGGAAUCCCCAUUUAUUGAUCAACUUUAAAGCCUAUGCACAGCACUUAAAAAGAUAAAGUAAGCAAGGUCAGAUAAUCAAAGCAUUUAAAUAGUAAAAACAGCAACUGCCACUGUAGACUGCUAAAAUAAAUCCAUAAUACAAAUUGCUUUAGCAAAAAGUGGAUGAGUAGCUGAUCUUCCUAUUGAACUUUAUACUGUUCAGUGACCACACUGGGAAAAGGAUUGGGAGAAAUGCCUUGAAGAUCAAUAUUGAGUGAGAUGUAGCAGGGAUUCAUUCUGAACAUGAAAGAAUUACAAGUAUGAGAGUAGAGAUCUUGAAGAAAUGUCAUCAAGAAGGGACUAUUCUUUUAAAAAUAUCACACAUAUUACAAAAAAGUGACAUUAGUUGAUAUUCUAUCAUGAUCUCAGAACACUGAAAUCUUAUUAAAUCAACUAUUAUUACAAAACAUGAAAAUAACAAAAAGAAAGUGAAUAAUAUUACUAAAAAUACUUUGAAAAAAUCAGUAAAUUUUGUCUUAAAAAAAAGAUUUUAAAAUAUAUUAAUUUAUUAAUUAAACUGGCACGUGCAUAUGCAAUUAACACAUUUAAGUAUUAUUAUUUCCUUUUUUUUUUUUUCUAAAUAACAUUUUAGUAGAUAUUUUUAUUGCAUUAUAGAAACUGGAAGGAUCUAUUGCAAAUGCUCCAAAUUUCAAUUCAACCUAAGCCUUUACAGGCUUUUCAUUAAAAUAAAUAAAUAGAUAGAGAGAUAGAUAUGUGCUAUCACUUUCAGUUCUACAUAACUUUCAUCCAGCACUGUUUGAGACGUAUUUAUGAGGAAAAAAUCCUAGAUGUAGCAGUACUACAGUAGCUCAUUGUCUUAUAUCUAUUGAAUCAAUUGACACUUGUAUUAUAUUAUCUCAUGAGAAGUGCUGAAUUUUCAUGUACUGUUGCCCCUUAUAAAUAUAGAAUACUAGGUUUUUGUUUGUUUGUUUGUUUCAUUUCUGGUCAAUCAUCUUACUAAUAAAAAAGUAUUCUUGCCAGAAAGUUAUUACUAUCAGUGUUUGAAAAUACAGGGCUGCUCUGAAAGUAAUGCUUUUGUUUUUUUUAUGUUGGCCAACAACAUCAGACACAAAUGUGGGAGGUAUGACAGUAGAUGUUGAACUUUCCCACCAAUAUUCUGUUACGUUUUGUUGCCCUGUGACAGAUGGCAACAGAGCGGGCAGUCUGUCAACAUGACACGUGACCUGGAAGUGCAUAUGAAGUAAAUGUAUGUCAUUGAAUUCCUCCAUGUGGAAAAAAUGGCACCCACUGACAUUCACUGGCACUUGCUGAAUGUUUCUCGAGACCCAACAGUGAAUGUCUGAAAAAUGUGAGUAAUGCCUCCAGAAAAGCUUAAAUGGGAAUCACGCCAAGAAUGUGGGACCAGGAAAGUCAAAUUGUCAGACUGAGACAAAACUUUGUGGAAAUGGAAGAAGAAGUAAAGAACUUAAGACUUACACACAGCAAUGAUGCUCAGAUGGUAAGCGCUGAUUUAUUUGAAAUCCUGUUUGUAUUAUAUUGAGAAAUACUGUACAUGAUUAGUGCAUAUUUCUGUGAACUUUUAACACUUCAGAUGGAUUAGAAUGUCUUAUUUUGAUCAUAUCCAUAUUGUUCAUUGUGAUAAGAUUAGGUCCUGAGUCAUUAAAAAUUGUUUGGCUUAUUUCCAUUACAUCCAAGCAUGUUUUAAGUAGAAAAAUAUAGAAUACGGUUUUCCAUAUUGUGCACACAUAACACAUGUUUGAGAUUAAUCAAACCAUAGUCACCUCUAAUUAACAGCAGGGAACAAUUUCAACAUGGGACAGAGCCAGAUGACAAAGAAGCAAAGCACAUAUUUAAAAGAUGCAGCAUACUAAGAAAAAAAAAUGGAAGGGAGGAUUAUGACUUAAGAAUACUGAAAAGUUUUUAAACCUGUGGUUCUGUGGGUAUGAUUAAUACAAACUAUCAAGUAGGCAAAAGUGUUAUUUUGCUUUGUUUUUUAGCAUAGGCAAAAUUUUCCAGAACCAAACUGUUGCAAAGAUAAGUUGUAAAGGUAAAAAGGUAUUCUGUCUAAGUUAAUAUUCUUGCCCUUUGCCUUUCAAUAAUUACUAAACUAACAAAGGAGAGGACAGACAUUCUGGGAUGCACUUCUUUGGUCAUUUUUGACCACCUUGUGCCAACCAAGCUAAUUUAAGACACAAAAACAUGAGUCUGCCUGGAAAAAAAAAAAAAUCGUAAUUAUUUUUUUUUAGUAUCUAAACCAGAAAAAAAAGAAUCUUAUCAAGGUACCACCUUUCUUUGAGAUGUCAGGAAUCAAAAUUUUUUAACAGAAUGCAUAUCAGAAUUCAAGGUCUCCCCCUUUUCUCCUUUCUCUCUGUAUACACACACACACAUACUCACAUAGAUUUUUUUACAUAUCAUUCUUGGAAAAGAACAUAUUAUUUUCAUUUAAACUUUCCAAGAUAAUUUGGCCUUGAGCAAAAACUCAGCAGGACAAAUUUCAAUAUAAACAAAUGAAGUUUGGCAAAGCUCUAAGCAACUGAAAACUGUGUCUUAUAAUGGAAAAAUUAUGAUAGGCAGCACAACGAUAUACCAAGAUAUUACCAUCCUGCCAACAGAGGAAAAUAAAUCAACCGAAAUUCCUGACAACAUCAUCUUCCUGAAACUGAUGAGAGUAUGCAAAGGCUUUUUGGCUAAUAGAUGUCAAAUGAAACCUUGAAGACAACAAAUAAAAUCCAUAAUGGAAGAAACUUAAACUUAAAACAUAAUGUUUCCUUGAUCAUAAUUUUCAGUGCUGUAUUGUAUGCCAGUCUGUUAAGGAUAACAGUCUGCAAUAGCAUACAAAAAUGCAGGAGAAUUUUUUAAAACAAGGAAAAUAUCCUGUUCUUGUUCUUCCAUUCUUCCAAAAUUUUAAACAGAUCUAUAGGGGAAGGCAUUGUUAUUCAUCAUUAUAGUCAAUAAAACCAUUCUUCUAUGAAAACCAAGAGCUGAUUCUUUCUUUAAUUCUUUGUUUGUUUGUUUUGCAUGAGUUGUUCUGCUUAAGAGGAGGCAAUGGUUCUGUAUGAUUUGGACUUCCCUUUUAUACGGGUAUUUUAGCUGUCAAAGUUCAUAGUAGCAAUAUGUGUUCUUUCUCGAAGUCUAGCAAUCCCUCAGAUUACACAAGGUCCCUUAAGGAAUUUAUAAGUCCUUUAAAGCCUGUAAAAAAUAACAGAAGUUAUUUUCAUAAUUUCUAUGCCUCUGUUCUUACAUCCUGUUUUGUAGAAUAAUUUUAAGUAGAAAUCUCCAUGAGCCUCGCAAUUCAGACAGUCAGUUUGAAGUAGAAAUUUUAUUGCAGCGUAUGUAUUAAGUCCAUCAUUGUCCUUAUGGCUUUCUGAGGAGACUUGAAUGUUCUGUGGAAGAUAUAUUACUAACUACUGUUUUAAUACAAUUUGUCAGAAUGACUUUGGUUUUUUUUCUUUGCAACUAGAAAGCAAAAUCAGUGAGUCUUAUGGCUAAAUAAAAAUAUGGCUAAACAAAACAUAUUACUUUAAUUUUAAUUAAUAAUUAAUUAAUAAUUAAUACUUUAUUACUUUAACCAGAGGUGUCUUCUUGAUCUGAUACACACUGGUUGUUUUUCACUCAUCCUCUUGUUCCAUUGCUUCUAAAAGUUUGUGUAUUCUUUUAUAACUAUUUGAUAGCUGUUUGAACAGGUUAUCUAUUUUCUCACAGACUGGAAAAUUUCCUAGCGAGGCUCAGCCAACCCCAAGCAUGUUUUCUGUUUCAAGUAUUCGUAGGAAGAGUCAGUGGGAAUGCUUUUAGAUGUGAUCAUCACUACUCCAUUAUGGUAGUUUUUUGUAGGUUUUUUUUUUUUUUUUUUUUUUUUUUUUUAAGUAACUAACUUGAAAAGAAAAACUUCCUGCAUUUCUGGAGAGUCUUUGGGAGGGUAAUUACCAGGAAGUUGCCAGUGAAAAAUGAAGAAUAGUUGUUUCCUUGGUACUGAGUUCUUGAUAAUUGCCCAUACAAAUUCCACAAUUAUUCUCUCAUCCCCAUGCACCAAAUGUUUUUAAUUAUACCAGAUUGAUAAGAAUCUGAAUACUCUGAGAAAUGAGAUGAACUUGUAUGAAGACACAUAGGAUGGUAGUCAAAUGAGCUGAAGUUUAAAUAUGAACAACACAAUGCAACACUGAGGCCUGCAUGACUGUAAGAAUGUUAGGAUAGAAAAUUGUCUUUGGUAGCAGCAAAGAUUAAAAAAAUAGUAUCACUUAAAUAAAUACAUGUGAAGAAGCCAAAUUUGUAACAAAAAGGAAACCAGUAAAUGAAUUCACAAAAGCCAGCUACUACAUAGCAAAUCUCUGUAUAAAUGGGCUGAGAGUAUGUACCAAGAAGAAGGCAAGUAUCUAUUCUUUUUCAAUGGGAAAAACAAAAAACAAAAAACAAACAAACAAAAAAGCUAUUUCAUCCUUACUUUGGGAAAAAGGCACACAAAACCAAAGCAAAAAAUGCCUCACUGACUGCAUCUGUCCAUUCUGUACUGUAAUUUGUUUCCCGCUAUGAAGAUUUAGGUUAAAUUCAUUUCUAUUAUUAAAGACAAAUAAGCUGCAAAAGAACUAAUUCUCUGUCUCCAUCUUUUACAUGUAUAUUUAUUCAUAUGAAUGCACUUUUGUUCAUUUAUUUUUACUUCUACCUUGACAAAGCUGUGCAAAAAAUAACAUAGUUUGAUUACUCAUAAUUUGCAUUUGUGUAAUUAAUAGGGAUGAAAAGGAUUAAAAUCAAUGGAGAAAUAUUUAUUUGUUUAAAUUGGAUAACUAUGGAAAAACUAUUUGGCAGGAAUGAAAGCUUUUCCAUCUAAAUUACGUCAUAUAAUUUAAACUGUUUUAGUUUUUAAGCUUAAAAAGCAUGAAAAUCACAAAGCAGAACUGGAAGAAGACACAGAAAAAUACUGCCAUGUAAAGGAAGAGCCUUCAGAACAAGGGUCUCAGCUCAAAAUUAGCUAGCUGGUCCAUUCUGGAGUGGGAAAACUGAUAAAAUGCCGCAGUACUCAGGUAAUACCCUUGAUACAAUAUGUGGAAGGGAGACAGUGUUUGAAGUAAUAUCAGUGAAUGUAUCAGAGUACUCUCAGAGAAUUUUUCCAACGGAUAAGGAAAUAUUAUUUAAAUAAUACUAACUGUAAAAUUCACUCAUGAGUGAUUGAGAAAACAUGAGAAAUAUUGUUGAAAAUAUCAAGUCAAUAUAACAGCAGCAUUUCUUCUUUUAAAAGUGUUGUGGGUGGGAUUCACCUUGUUGAACUGGAGGUAGGAAUAUUUGAAAUAGAUGUCUAAGUUCCAUUGCUGUCAUUGGAGACUUAAUCAACUCAGUGAGUGAAAUCAAGGGCUAUCAAUACCUUUCAUUACCCAAAGUGAACCUACAGAAAAGCUGGAGAGUGACUCUUUAUCAGGUAGCAUUGUCAUAGGACAAGGGAUAGUUGCCUUCAACUAAACUAGAUUAGACAUUAGAAAGAAAUUCUUCACUAUGAGGACAGUGAGAUACUGAAAUAAAUUGUCCAUAGAAACUGUGGAUGCUCCAUCUCUGGGAGCAUUCAAACGUAGGUUGAGUGAAGCCCUUGGCAACUUGAUCUCAUGGAAGGUGACUGUGCUAUGGCAGGGAAUUAGAACUAGAUGAAUUUAAGUUCUCUUCCAAACCAUUUUAUGAUUCUAUGACUAAAUAUUGAUCCAAUCAAUAUUAAGGUUUUCAGAGGAGCUGAAAAUCAAUCCCAGUGACAAUAUUAUUCAUUGUGAUAGAACACAUUCACACACCGUAAUGCAGACAUCCAAAUUUGGGUAAGAAUAAUCAGAUUAGAAAAGUUAGCCUUUUUGCAGCAAUUCAUUAUAUAAUACGGAAUUAUUUUAUUUAUUUUUGUUACUAAUAAGAGUACUAGAUGUUUCACAAGCAUAGAUACUGGUCAAUUAUCUGAGCAAUAUCCAAUAUAUAAAUACACAAAGUUAGAAGGAAAUGAUCAAUGCCAGAGAGAAAUAAAAGUUAAAAUAAUACAUGCUUUUUCUUCUGUGUCUGAGAGAAUGUGAGUAGAUGUGAAAGUUGGAAAACCAAAAGAAUUAGUAGUAUGACAACAUUCCUUUUCUACCCUAGCAUUGUCAAAAGAUAACAAGAUUAAUUCUCUGCUGUAGUAUUUCACUACAGUAGUGUGUUAAUUUGAGGGGCUUGGCUGAGCCUUAUUCAGCAUAUAAUUAGAAUUUACUGAACUUUAAUUUCUUAUCAUCUUUAGGCUGCAUUAUCAAAGUGUUUAUAUUGAAACAUUCAAAUGUUCAGUUAAAAAUAAACUUCAGUUUGUCAAGGAUACAUUGUAUACAAAUUCUGUGGAAAUAUUUGAAUAAAAUUGUUCACUUUUGCUUUGUGAGAAAUGCUUUGCACUUUACAUAUUUAUAACAUAAUGUCAUUAGAGUAUGUAUCUUAGAAAUAUAGCAAUUUCCUGGUGAAUUUAUUGAAUAAAUGCUUAUCUAAUAAGUAAUUUGAGAGUAGAGAAAGAUCUAAUGAAAAGCUAAAUACACAGUGAAAUCCUAAUCAAGCAAUUGAAAUAGUUACUCAUGAUAAAACUAAGAUUAUCAGAGUAUCAGAACACAAAUUACUCCAUUAAUCUUUUGAAUUAGUCAGUUCUUAUUUUCUGAAGCUAAGUAACUUGGGAAGGUACACUCAAGGUUUCAUCUUUCUGAAGACUGUAUUUAUUACCUUUACUUUCAUAAAGAGUUCAUUAGAAAGAAUAUUACAGUGAAAUACGUUAACUUUUUAGCCUGUUUUAAUGAGGUCAUGUGAGUCUUUAAUUAUCUGACAUAAAACUGCUUAGUUUUACGUAGUAUCUACAGAUACUAAUUAGUAUCUACAUAUAUACAUUAGUAUCUACAUCAAUUAGUAUCUACAGAUAUUAACGGAUUCAUAUGUCAUAAAGCCAGAAGAAACGCUGUUAUUGAAUCUUAUAUGUGGCACAAUGCAGGCCACAGGACUUCACUGAAUUGAGUAGUUGUAAGAGAUUAUUCUUUUAUAUGAUUGACUCAAAGUUUGCUGAGGAACAAGUCCAGGCAAGUCCUGGGCAAAGGUACAGAAAUCUUCUGUCUGGAGGACACUGAUGGACAGGUCCUGGCUAAAGGAUUGUGAAGUCCUUUAAGGAGCACAGAUGGACGAGGCCAGGGGCAACGAGAGAGGGAUAAGCUGCUGAUAAUGGCUGAGAAAUGGUCUUUUGUGUGGACUUAUCUAGAAGAAGAUGGCCAUCUCAGGAGCUACGCACAUGACUCUUGCUCAAGCACCCAGGGAUGUCACGUAGGCAGGAAAAAGAGGAGGAUAAAAGAGGGUCUAACAACCAUGAGGAGAGGGUUUCUGCCAUCAGAUCCCUCACCACGACGGACUCAAGGUUUCUGCCAUCAGAUCCUUCACUACGGACCAUAUGCUGAUGGACUUCCCUGGGCCUGCUACCUGAGACCUGCUGCUUCCUCCCAGACUUACUCUGCGGCUUCUUCCUGGACCCACCCGGUACCUGCACCCUCUCGUUGCCCAAGACCGGCCUCGCUGCUCCUGCCCUUCAGCCUCGGACCAUCAGAACAUCGUGCAACAGGACUACUGCUGGUGGUGACUAUCCCCGCUUUAUGCAAUUCUUGCUUCUUUCUAUCUUUUCUAUCGCUCGCCUUCCCUUUCCCAUCACCCCAAUCCAUAAUAGUGUCCGUCCUCCCCUUUCUUCAUCUCCCUUAUUAACAUAUGUAAUAAACUGGUCGGACCAACAUUUGAACCGUUGUUUCUUAAUCUCACGCCGGGCAUACAUAUUUCAAAGAACCUCCUCUCCCUCCUAUAAAUUGGAGUGAGACAGUAGUACAUUAUGUCUAAGUAAAUGUGAUUAAAAUGGAGUAUAUUAAAAUGGAGCAUACAUUUUUUAUACAUUCUUGACUUUAAAUAUACACAAUGUUAGAGAAUUCAUUACGGUCUUUCACAGGUUGCCUCAAUAGUUAGUAAAACAUAUAGCAUGCUGACUGUUCAUCAUUUUAGCAUCUUUCUUGGAAUGUUAUACAAAUCUCAACAUAUAUAAAAAUAGUUUUUAUGUCAUCUUUAUCAAUAACAUUUGAAAUAUCAUAAAACUGAAAGAGCAGAUAGUUUUACAAGAUGUGUUUACAGUAAAUCCACAGUAACUUUGGUUAUUAUAUUAAUGCACAUUUGUUAUAUGUAUCUACAGCUAACACAAAUUACUGUGGAAUUAUGAUAUUAGCUGUCCUGAUAUUUUGCUUGAAAGAGAUAAGUAACUACCCUCCUUGAAUUACUUGAAUCACCCUCUUAAAACCUAAGAAAUAUUAGCACAGAAUUAACAGAUAAAUUAAUCUGUACUGUUUUGGAAGUUUUUAAGGUUGUCAAGACCAAACACUGUAAAUAUGGCCUAGAAAUUCUUUUCAAAAGCACUUCAAAAGCACUUAGAUAUGUUUUACGUAGACAAUUUGAAAUAUAUUUAUACUUAUGUGAUUGCAGUCACUUUUAUCCUAAGACUAAAAUACCAUACAUUCUUCAGUUAUAAUAGAAUAUUUCACAUGAAGGGUUCUACAGAGAUCAUCAAGUCCAACUGCCUGACAACUUCAGAGGUAACCACAAGUUAAGCGUAUUACUGAGGGCAUUAUCCAAAUGCAUCUCAAGUAAUAUUAGGCAUGGGACAUCAGUCAUCUCAUUGCAGUGAGAUAAAAGCCUGUUCCACUGUUUGAUGAUAAAUAAAUGUCCAGUAUAGUCUGAAACUCCCCUGGCACAGCACAGCUGUGUGCCACUCCUGUGCAACCUGCAAUCAGCACAGAAGAUACCAGGGAGCAGAGACCAGCACCUCCCUCUGUACUUCCUCUCCUCAAGGAGCUGCAGAGAGCAGUAAAGUCAUCUUGUAGACUCCUAUUCUCCAGGCUAGACAGUCCAAGAGUCCUCACCCUUUCCUUACUAGACAUGUCUUCCAUUCUGAUUACCUGCUUUGUUGCCAUUGUCUGGACACUUUUAGAUAUCUUAAUAAUGUUUUUAUGUUGUGGGGCAUACAUUAUUCAAGGUGAGGUUGCACCAACUCCAAAUAUAUCAGGACAAUCACCCCAAAAAGCAGUUUGCCCUUUUGGCAACCAACACUGCUGGUUCAUACUGAGCCUGCUAUCAUCAGCCCUCCUAGAUCAAUUUGUUCUGAGCUGCUCUCCAGCCAUUCAUCUCUCAGUUUGUGUCAUCUCUCAGGUACUGUGCCAGGCAUAGUACCUGACAUUUACCUUUGUUGAACUUCACGCCACUGUUUCCCCAGUGCUCCAAUCCAUCCACAUUGCUCUACAAGACCUCAGCAACACAACUGACCAUCUACUAGCCAAAUGGGUCUCCAUCACUACAACACUUUGAGUUCUACCAUUGAGCCAGUUUAUCACCCUGCAUAGUGUGAACAUACUUAUCUCACAGUUGGACAAUUUGUACAGAAAGUUGCCAUGAAGGAUCAUAUCAAAGGCUUUACUGAAUUCUAGAAAGAUGACGUACGCUGCCUUCCUUCAUCCACCAAGUGGGUAAUCUUAUAAAAAGAAAUCAAAGCAAUGAAGACAGGGCUUUCCCUUCAUGAACCCAUAUUGACUAUGCCUGACAAUGGCUUUGUCCUUCAAGUGCCUUUCAGUAACACUCACUAUAAUCUUCUCCAUAAAUUUUUAGGGUACUGAAGUUAGGUUAACAAGUCUGUUACAGAUUUGUUACUUUUGUUACUUUGUUUUCAGUAAGUUCUUUCUCUUUAUUUUUUGUUUGUUUGUUUAUUUUACUUUGUUUUGGGAAGAGGAGAGCUUGUGGUGGGGAGUGGGGUUUUGUCAUCUACGUAGUGCUAUUGAAGAUAAUACUACUUUUUUAUAUUUAAACAUUUGAUCCUCAGAAAGUUUCAUCCUAUUCUUUCAUGUUUACGAGAUUUUUCUCUCUUCAAACACUUUUUUUCUUUGUAUGAACAUUUGCAAAUGAGUGUGUACAUGCAUAUCAAUGACCAUGAGUACAUGGGGCUUAUCUGUUCCUCAAAAAUAUGACUUGGUCAAAAUUACUUUUGCAUAAAGAACAACUGAAUUUCAGCAACGUAAUCCUUUCCUACUCAUAAGUCUUAAAUUAAUGUGCAAAAUUGAAUUAAUCAGCAUAUUUAAUUACAAUUUUUUUGUUAAACUUAUUUAUCUGUGAAGGUGUUAUGUAUAAUUUUUGAAAGUUAAUGGAUACAUUAUUAAGCAAAGAGUAACAGCUCCAACAAACCAGAAUUAUUUAAGUCUCUGAGGAAAACUAAGAUUUCCCUUCUGAUUCAUCUUUAAAAUCCUGUUUUCAACAUCUUUGCAAAGUUAAUUUUAGUUUUUUAAAAGCCAGGUAACUUAAAAUAAUUUUUCUGCCCUUCAUUCCUCUUUUGUUUAUCGUGUUUUUCAGAAUGUUGUUCCAUUAGUGACUUUGAAGUCAGUGAUGUUAGAUCAAAUUAUUCAAAUUACUAGCUUUUGUUGUUGCUGGUGCUGUUUUGUGGGUUUUUUUUCUUUUGUUUUGUUUUGUUUUGAUUUUCCUCUUAUGAAUGUAAUUUACUGGUGUAGUGGUUAUUAGAACAGAACUUCACAGUGUUUGUGUUUUGUCUUAAUUAUAAGUAAUUUUAUAUCACUAAUAUUAUCAGUAAACUUGUUUGUGUAUAUUUUACUCAAUGAAAUGUUAAUGCCAAACUUUGAACAGAAACUGUACUGACUACUUCUAUCUUAAAACAGACAGUACCAGUAGCUGAUUGUUUUACUUUUGUUUCCUUUCAUCAAACAACUCUAUUCAGAAGGUGAAAAUUUCCUUUUCUUCUUUUUGAUGGAAUUUCUUUUCAUUUCUCCCCUUUCUUUUCAUAGUUUUACAAACGGUCAGUUACACAGUUUAUUACAAAAUAUGUUGAGGCACAUGCCUAGAAGGUGUGUUGAAUGGCAUACUCCAUCUACUUGUGGCAUCUAUGCAUAUUAAGUUGUUAAAAGCAUGUUUGUCAAACUUAUAUGACAGUUUUAGCAAUUGUAAAAACGCAUAUUUGCUAUGCUAUGCUAGAAGAAGAGGAAGAAAAAGAAGAAGAGAAGUGAAAAAAGAGAGGAGAGGAGAGGAGAGGAGAGGAGAGGAGAGGAGAGGAGAGGAGAG